GACGUAGGGCGCGAGCGUUGUCCGGAAUUACUGGGCGUAAAGAGCUCGUAGGUGGUUUGUCGCGUUGUCCGUGAAAACUCACAACUCAAUUGUGGGCGUGCGGGCGAUACGGGCAGACUGGAGUACUGCAGGGGAGACUGGAAUUCCUGGUGUAGCGGUGGAAUGCGCAGAUAUCAGGAGGAACACCGGUGGCGAAGGCGGGUCUCUGG
rnacentral:rRNA from 1 species